rnacentral:rRNA from 1 species
UGACGUCAAUCAUCAUGCCCCUUAUGACCUGGGCUACACACGUGCUACAAUGGUUGGUACAACGAGUUGCGAGUCGGUGACGGCGAGCUAAUCUCUUAAAGCCAAUCUCAGUUCGGAUUGUAGGCUGCAACUCGCCUACAUGAAGUCGGAAUCGCUAGUAAUCGCGGAUCAGCACGCCGCGGUCGAAUACGUUCCCGGGCCUU